AGAAAAAAAAAAUUGAGGACUGGCUAGGACCACUGUCUGUGUGGAGUUUACACAUUCUCCCAUUGUCUACAUGGGUUUUCCCUGGAUAUUCUGGUUUCUUCUCACAUCCCAAAGUUGUGCCAUUAGGUUAAUUGGCAUGUCUACAUGGUCCCAGUCCGAGUGAAUAUGGGUGCGUGUGUGAGUACGCCUUGAGGUGGAUUAACAUUCUAGCCAGGGAUGGCUCCCACCUUGCACACUUAGUUGCCAGGGAUAGGUUCCAGCCGCCCACAUGACCCUGAACUGGAAUAGUGGGUUAGAAAAUGAGUGAAUGAAUACAAAUUAUUAUAAGAUAAAGAUUCCUAAGGUAUGUAAUAGUCAUACAAAUGCACAACAGUAAACAAACAAACAGUGAGGGACAAAAAGCACUCAGAGGGCUGUCAGAAUUACUGUUUUUGAAUUUUGUGGUGGUAGGAGGGAAUCCUUAAAAUUUUUGUUUUGCAAACAUUUAUUCCUUGACUUGACCAACAUCCACUAAAACCACUGUUACUCACUGAUUCACCAAAAAUGAGGUUGGAGCACUUACUCAGAAGCUCUGGCGUAUAGGAAGCUCCCAGCACAGGGAACUUUAGAAAACUCAUAAAUGCAGGUCUCCAGAUGCCAGAAGAUUAAACAAAUGCCAGCUUCACAAGGCCAUGCUUUUCCAGCAGAAGAGAGAUGCAAUGUAAACAAAAAACUUGUAGGUAAAAAUAAAAUUUUGGAACAGAAAGAGGACACAAAAUAAGGAUUUAAGGCUGACAGAAUGGGAGGAGAAAAAAACAAGAAUUCAAUAUACCAACCAAGCAAAAAGGCUGCAGAGAAAGAAGGAAUUCUUCCUCAAUUGUUUGUUGAAGUUAACUAUUGCAUGAAGAGGCCCAUGUAGCAAAGAACCAAGAACAACCUCCUGUCGGCAGCCAAUGAGGAACUUAGACCCCCGAUGUAACAGCACGCAAGGAAUGGAAUUCUGCCAAUAACUAGAUAAGUUUAGAAAGCAAAUCCUUCCCUGGUUGAGCCUUCUGAUGAGACACCAGUCCUAGCUGACACGUUGAUUACAUCCUGUGGUGGUUAAUGUUGUGUCAACCUGGCUAGACUGUGGUUCUCAGUGGAUUGGCUAAAUAUCAGUCCAGAUGUUGCUGUGAAGGGUUUUUUUUUUAAAUGUGAUUAAGAUUUAAGUCAGUAGACUGAAUAAUUAUCAACAUUCAUAUAAGUAGACUUUGAGUAAAGCAGAUUCUACCCAUAAUGUGGGUGGGCUUCAUGCAAUCAGUUAAAGGCCUUAAGAGCAAAGAAAGACUGAGGUUGACCCCAAAAGAAAGAGUUUUCCUUCAAGAUAGCCACAUAAAAUCCCAGCUUGAGUUUCUAGCCUGUUCAUCUUUGGUAUGUGGACUAAGAUUGCCACAUCAACCCCUGCCAGAACUCCAGACUGUGAGCCUGCCCUACAGAGUUCAGAUUUGCCAGUCCCCAAAAAUCACAUGAGAAAAUUUCUUAAAAUAAAUUUAUCUCUUUUUCUCUUUAAAUAUAAAAGAACUUAAAGCAGAAGAUCUCACUAAGUUAUGCCUGUAUUUCUGAUCCACGAAAAUAAUAAAACAAUAUUUAUG
rnacentral:lncRNA from 10 species